UAGAAGAUGGUGUAAUGGGAGCACUAGGAGUUUUGAUCUCCUGAGUUUGGGUUCGAGCCCCUCUCUUCUAA
rnacentral:tRNA from 1 species